AGUGAACGCUGGCGGUAGGCCUAACACAUGCAAGUCGAACGGCAGCACAGUAAGAGCUUGCUCUUACGGGUGGCGAGUGGCGGACGGGUGAGGAAUACAUCGGAAUCUACUUUUUCGUGGGGGAUAACGUAGGGAAACUUACGCUAAUACCGCAUCCGACCUACGGGUGAAAGCAGGGGAUCUUCGGACCUUGCGCGAUUGAAUGAGCCGAUGUCGGAUUAGCUAGUUGGCGGGGUAAAGGCCCACCAAGGCGACGAUCCGUAGCUGGUCUGAGAGGAGGAUAAGCCACACUGGAACUGGGACACGGUCCAGACUCCUACGGGAGGCAGCAGUGGGGAAUAUUGGACAAUGGGCGCAAGCCUGAUCCAGCCAUACCGCGUGGGUGAAGAAGGCCUUCGGGUUGUAAAGCCCUUUUGUUGGGAAAGAAAAGCAGCAGGUUAAUACCCCGCGGUUCUGACGGUACCCAAAGAAUAAGCACCGGCUAACUUCGUG
rnacentral:rRNA from 1 species